rnacentral:rRNA from 1 species
GACAGAGGGGGCAAGCGUUGCCCGGAUUCACUGGGCGUAAAGCGCGUGUAGGCGGCGCGUCAAGUCGGGUGUGAAAGCCCGGGGCUCAACCCCCGGGGAUGCCGCUCGAAACUGGCGCGCUUGAGGACGGAAGAGGGGAGUGGAAUUCCUGGUGUAGCGGUGAAAUGCGUAGAUAUCGGAAGGAACAUCAGUGGCGAAAGCGACUUCCUGGACCAAUACUGACGCUCAUGUGCGAAAGCGUGGGGAGCAAACAGGG